GAUGAAGAACGCAGCGAAAUGCGAUACGUAAUGUGAAUUGCAGAUCUCUCAGUGAAUCAUCGAAUCUUUGAACGCACAUUGCGCCCCUUGGUAUUCCGAGGGGCAUGCCUGUUCGAGCGUCAUUAUAACCCCUCAAGCUCAGCUUGGUGUUGGGGCCUGCUGCACUGGCAGCCCUUAAAAUCAGUGGCGGCGCCAUCUGGCUCUAAGCGUAGUAAUUCUUCUCGCUAUGGAGUCCUGGUGGAUGCUUGCCAUCAACCCCCAAUUUUUCUAUGGUUGACCUCGGAUCAGGUAGGGAUACCCGCUGAACUUAAGCAUAUCAAUAAGCGGAGGA
rnacentral:misc_RNA from 1 species